UACGGGGGGGGCAAGCGUUGUUCGGAAUUACUGGGCGUAAAGGGCUCGUAGGUGGCCAACUAAGUCGGACGUGAAAUCCCUCGGCUCAACCGAGGAACUGCGUCUGAUACUGGAAGGCUUGAAUCCGGGAGAGGGAUGUGGAAUUCCAGGUGUAGCGGUGAAAUGCGUAGAUAUCUGGAGGAACACCGGUGGCGAAGGCGGCAUCCUGGACCGGUAUUGACGCUGAGGCGCGAAAGCUAGGGGAGCAAACGGG
rnacentral:rRNA from 1 species